CCUACGGGUGGCAGCAGUGGGGGAUAUUGCACAAUGGGGGAAACCCUGAUGCAGCGACGCCGCGUGGGUGAAGAAGCGCCUCGGCGCGUAAAGCCCUGUCAGCAGGGAAGAAAAUGACGGUACCUGAAGAAGAAGCCCCGGCUACCUACGUGCCAGCCGCCGCGGUAAUACGUAGGGGGCAAGCGUUAUCCGGAUUUACUGGGGGUAAAGGGGGCGCAGACGGCGAUGCAAGCCAGGAGUGAAAGCCCGGGGCCCACCCCCGGGACUGCGCGUGGAACUGCGUGGCGAGAGUGCAGGAGGGGCAGGCGGAAUUCCUGGUGUAGCGGUGAAAUGCGUAGAUAUCAGGAGGAACACCGGUGGCGAAGGCGGCCUGCUGGACUGCAACUGACGUUGAGGCCCGAAAGCGUGGGGAGCAAACAGGAUUAGAUACCCGUGUAGUC
rnacentral:rRNA from 1 species